rnacentral:tRNA from 1 species
AGCGCCCUUCCACAGGUUUUGGUGGUCGCGCUUGCAGAGUGCGGGUCCCAUGCGAUCAUCGGCGCCGCGUUCGAUGGCUGCCGC